GUUAGAGUUACUCAGUUUACAAGUAAUUUUAGAAACAGUUUAUUAAUUUGUGUAAUUUUUCAACAGUGUGGAGAUAUUUAAAAGGGAAUCAACAUGGAUUUCGAACGACGCUUCAGAAUAAAUAAAGAGAAAUCAUCGAAACAGUGUAGCAAAAUCAACGAUAAAUUGAGACACUUGGCGAAAAUUGGACUCUCAGAAAGCAGUGCAGGACACCAAAGGCAUGAAAAGCUGCAAUUCCAACCCAGAGAUGAAUAAGGACCAAGGGCACCUAAAGGGUGAUGGAUUUUUCUUCAGUUUUCAAUAAGAAGUCGAAGAAAAUACAGAACCAGAAGUAAUGG